GUGGGGAAUAUUGGACAAUGGGCGCAAGCCUGAUCCAGCCAUGCCGCGUGAGUGAUGAAGGCCCUAGGGUUGUAAAGCUCUUUCAGUGGGGACGAUAAUGACGGUACCCACAGAAGAAGCCCCGGCUAACUUCGUGCCAGCAGCCGCGGUAAUACGAAGGGGGCUAGCGUUGUUCGGAUUUACUGGGCGUAAAGCGCACGUAGGCGGAUCGUUAAGUCGAGGGUGAAAUCCUGGGGCUCAACUCCAGAACUGCCUUCGAUACUGGCGAUCUUGAGUCCGGAAGAGGUGAGUGGAACUCCUAGUGUAGAGGUGGAAUUCGUAGAUAUUAGGAAGAACACCAGUGGCGAAGGCGGCUCACUGGUCCGGUACUGACGCUGAGGUGCGAAAGCGUGGGGAGCAAACAGGAUUAGAUACCCCAGUAGUCC
rnacentral:rRNA from 1 species